GCGUGUGUGAAGAAGGCCCUCUGGUUGUAAAGCACUUUCGGUAGGAAAGAAAAUCUUAAAGCUAAUAUCUUUAAAGAGUUGACGUUACCUACAGAAGAAGCACUGGCUAACUCUGUGCCAGCAGCCGCGGUAAUACAGAGAGUGCAAGCGUUAAUCGGAAUUAUUGGGCGUAAAGCGCGCGUAGGUGGAUAUUUAAGUCGGAUGUGAAAGCCCUAGGCUCAACUUAGGAAUUGCGUCCGAUACUGAAUAUCUUGAGUAUGGUAGAGGGAAGUGGAAUUUCCGGUGUAGCGGUGAAAUGCGUAGAUAUCGGAAGGAACACCAGUGGCGAAGGCGACUUCCUGGACCAAUACUGACACUGAGGCGCGAAAGCGUAGGGAGCAAACAGGAUUAGAGACCCUGGUAGUCCACGCUGUCAACGAUGAGAACUAGCUGUUGGAGAGUUUACUCUUUAGUAGCGAAGCUAACGCGUUAAGUUCUCCGCCUGGGGAGUACGGCCGCAAGGUUAAAACUCAAAGAAAUUGACGGGGGCCCGCACAAGCGGUGGAGCAUGUGGUUUAAUUCGAUGCAACACGAAAAACCUUACCUACCCUUGACAUCCUCGGAACUUGUCAG
rnacentral:rRNA from 1 species